rnacentral:rRNA from 1 species
UACGGGGGGAGCAAGCGUUGCUCGGAAUUACUGGGCGUAAAGCGCACGUAGGCGGAUUCUUAAGUCAGGGGUGAAAUCCUGGAGCUCAACUCCAGAACUGCCUUUGAUACUGAGGACCUUGAGUUCGGGAGAGGUGAGUGGAACUGCGAGUGUAGAGGUGAAAUUCGUAGAUAUUCGCAAGAACACCAGUGGCGAAGGCGGCUCACUGGCCCGAUACUGACGCUGAGGUGCGAAAGCGUGGGGAGCAAACAGG